rnacentral:rRNA from 1 species
GACGAACGCUGGCGGCGUGCUUAACACAUGCAAGUCGAGCGGUAAGGCCCUUUCGGGGGUACGACGAGCGGCGAACGGGUGAGUAACACGUGGGUGACCUGCCCUCAGCUCUGGGAUAAGCCUGGGAAACCGGGUCUAAUACUGGAUAUGACUCCAUGACGCAUGUUGUGGGGUGGAAAGCCUUGUGCGGCUGAGGAUGGGCCCGCGGCCUAUCAGCUUGUUGGUGGGGUGAGGCCUACCAAGGCGACGACGGGUAGCCGGCCUGAGAGGGCGACCGGCCACACUGGGACUGAGACACGGCCCAGACUCCUACGGGAGGCAGCAGUGGGGAAUCUUGCGCAAGUGGGCGAAAGCCUGACGCAGCGACGCCGCGUGA